GCGGGGUCGGGGUGGGACGAGGGAUGGGGAACUGGGUGGGUGGGACGAGGGCCUCGGAUCUAGGGCUGUGUGAUGCUAGUCGGGGCAAAGGUUUCCAAGCAGACUGCAGUGCUUGCGUAUUUCCAGGUCCUGUCCCGGGAUUCAGACUCAAUGGCCAGAUCUAAGGAGGUCGUCAGAGAACUUCUAUUCACCCUGCUGUGAUGAGGGGGACAAAUGAACACAAGUUUUUUUACAAGCAAAAAAAUUGACAAAAAUUAAGUAGAAUGAUAUAUACGUUUUAAAGGAAAAAAAAAAAAAAAACCAAACCUGUAUAUGACUCUAUAACAUGACCUGGGGACCACAAGUUAGGAAAGCGCCUCCAAUCUACAUUGGCUUAUUUAUAAAGGAUUAUUGGCGAUUUCAAUUCCUUACAGCCUGUGCCAACAUUGGCAGGAAUAAAGACAAUUCAGCUUUUUGGAAUUCUGCAUUUGGAAGCUGCCUUAUAUGAGGAGCCUAAAAAUCCAAAGACAGGAGUGGCUAGGUGGAAAAAUAGCUAAGGCUGACUUUCUAAGGCAGCAUUAACCACUGUCUUGGUCUUUGGUGUGGUUUGGGGUGAACUUGUUUCUAACCUGUCUAUAAUUAGGUAUCCAGUUUUUCCUAUCUUUAUUCAACUUAGCCAAAUAUUUUAUAGAUAGGGAGGCAGAACCAUCAAGUUUCUAAAGGAAUUACUUAGCAUUACAAAGAGAUCAAGGUUGUGUGAGAAUAAAGGAUUGACUACCAUUUUGACUGAAGUGAGC
rnacentral:lncRNA from 1 species